rnacentral:rRNA from 1 species
UCCUACGGGAGGCAGCAGUAGGGAAUCUUCCACAAUGGGCGAAAGCCUGAUGGAGCAACGCCGCGUGUGUGAUGAAGGCUUUCGGGUCGUAAAGCACUGUUGUAUGGGAAGAACAGCUAGAAUAGGAAAUGAUUUUAGUUUGACGGUACCAUACCAGAAAGGGACGGCUAAAUACGUGCCAGCAGCCGCGGUAAU